rnacentral:tRNA from 1 species
GGAAUGAUGGUUCAGUGCUUAAGAGCACUGGCUGCUUUUCCAAAAGGCCUGGGUUCAAUUCCCAGCGUUCCA